GUGCCAUGGCACGUCGUCGCAGUGUUAUGUCCGGUCUCGUCGUGGUGCACUUCUCCCCUAGUAGGACGUCGCGACCCGUUGGGUGUCGGACUACGGCCCGGGCGGUUGCCCGUCGCGGCGAUUUAUCGCCAUGACAGACCCCCGGUGUAUCCCGUCCGACUGCUCGGCGGUAUUGGUGCGAUGGUAUUCGGCCGCAGUCUAUUCGAACGAAGUGCGUUAUUGGCCCGUCGCAAGCGCGGUCAGUGUCCCGUGCGGUACGGACUUUGCGCCGUCCCCGGGCCUGAUCAGCUGUUGGCUGACGGUGUCCUCUGACUGGCCGCUUACUUGUUUGCGACGCUUUUGCUUUGGGUACUCUCAGGACCCGUCUUGAAACACGGACCAAGGAGUCUAACAUGUGCGCGAGUCAUUGGGAUAAGAAAACCUAAAGGCGCAAUGAAAGUGAAUGUCGACCUUGCGUCGACAGAGGGAGGAUGGGUUGCGCAAAGCAGCCUCGCACUCCCGGGGCGUCUCGUUCUCAUUGCGAGAAGAGGCGCACCUAGAGCGUACACGUUGGGACCCGAAAGAUGGUGAACUAUGCCUGGUCAGGACGAAGUCAGGGGAAACCCUGAUGGAGGUCCGUAGCGAUUCUGACGUGCAAAUCGAUCGUCGGAACUGGGUAUAGGGGCGAAAGACUAAUCGAACCAUCUAGUAGCUGGUUCCCUCCGAAGUUUCCCUCAGGAUAGCUGGCACUCGAAUGUUUUGAACGUAUGCGAGUCUCAUCUGG
rnacentral:rRNA from 1 species